GUCCUAGCUGUAAACGGUGCACGUUUGCUGUAAAAGGAAUCGACCCCUUUUGUGGCGAAGCUAACGCGUUAAACGUGCCGCCUGGGAAGUACGGUCGCAAGAUUAAAACUCAAAGAAAUUGACGGGGGCCUGCACAAGCGGUGGAGUAUGUGGCUUAAUUCGAUGCAACGCGAAGAACCUUACCUGGCCUUGACAUGCAUAUAGUAGAAGGGUGAAAGCCUGACGAGGUAGCAAUACCAGUAUGCACAGGUGCUGCAUGGCUGUCGU
rnacentral:rRNA from 1 species